rnacentral:rRNA from 1 species
GAUUAGAUACCCUGGUAGUCCACGCCGUAAACGUUGGGCGCUAGAUGUAGGGACCCUUUCCACGGUUUCUGUGUCGUAGCUAACGCAUUAAGCGCCCCGCCUGGGGAGUACGGCCGCAAGGCUAAAACUCAAAGGAAUUGACGGGGGCCCGCACAAGCGGCGGAGCAUGCGGAUUAAUUCGAUGCAACGCGAAGAACCUUACCAAGGCUUGACAUACACCGGAAACGGCCAGAGAUGGUUGCCCCCUUGUGGUCGGUGUACAGGUGGUGCAUGGUUGUCGUCAGCUCGUGUCGUGAGAUGUUGGGUUAAGUCCCGCAACGAGCGCAACCCUCGUUCUAUGUUGCCAGCGCGUUAUGGCGGGGACUCAUAGGAGACUGCCGGGGUCAACUCGGAGGAAGGUGGGGAUGACGUCAAAUCAUCAUGCCCCUUAUGUCUUGGGCUUCACGCAUGCUACAAUGGCCGGUACAAAGGGCUGCGAUACCGUAAGGUGGAGCGAAUCCCAAAAAGCCGGUCUCAGUUCGGAUUGAGGUCUGCAACUCGACCUCAUGAAGUCGGAGUCGCUAGUAAUCGCAGAUCAGCAACGCUGCGGUGAAUACGUUCCCGGGCCUUGUACACACCGCCCGUCAAGUCAUGAAAGUCGGUAACACCCGAAGCCGGUGGCCUAACCCUUGUGGAAGGAGCCGUCGAAGGUGGGAUCGGUGAUUAGGACUAAGUCGUAACAAGG